rnacentral:misc_RNA from 1 species
CCAGUUGAGUUUAUAAUAAUUAUUUUUAAGCAUGCUUGUGCUGUCUCUAAGCCUCCUCUUUUAGAUAUAAGAUUUGAGUGUUAAUUCUUGAAUUCAAGCAUGGCAAGGCGGCUUCUUCAUCCCCCAUUCUCUUUCUUUUCUGUCUUAAGGAUUUAAACGAACAAAUCUAGAUUAUUUAUUCUUAUUUUCCUUUUUUCAACUUAUUGGGCACUUAUUUUUGUACUUGUAGUUAGAUUUAUUAGAAGAUUACUAUUGGGUGUCGGCAGAUCGCCAAGACAUUGAUCACUUUGCAGCUGUAAACAAUUUCUG